AAAUAAGGAACACAGACUAAGACAGCCACGUCCUGUGGCAACCUCUGCGUGACCCACAUCCUGUGGA
rnacentral:sRNA from 1 species